GAUGAACGCUGGCGGCGUGCCUAAUACAUGCAAGUCGAGCGAAAAGAUCAGGAGCUUGCUCCUUUGACGUUAGCGGCGGACGGGUGAGUAACACGUGGGUAACCUACCUAUAAGACUGGAAUAACUCCGGGAAACCGGGGCUAAAGCCGGAUAACAUGUUGAACCGCAUGGUUCUACAGUGAAAGGCGGCUUUGCUGUCACUUAUAGAUGGACCCGCGCCGUAUUAGCUAGUUGGUGAGGUAACGGCUCACCAAGGCAACGAUACGUAGCCGACCUGAGAGGGUGAUCGGCCACACUGGAACUGAGACACGGUCCAGACUCCUACGGGAGGCAGCAGUAGGGAAUCUUCCGCAAUGGGCGAAAGCCUGACGGAGCAACGCCGCGUGAGUGAUGAAGGUCUUCGGAUCGUAAAACUCUGUUAUUAGGGAAGAACAAAUGCGUAAGUAACUGUGCGCGUCUUGACGGUACCUAAUCAGAAAGCCACGGCUAACUACGUG
rnacentral:rRNA from 1 species